UGAGCAACCUGCCCUUGACUCUGGAAUAACAGUUGGAAACAGCUGCUAAUACCGGAUAUGACCUCUGACGACAUCGUCUGGAGGUGGAAAGCUCUGGCGGUCAAGGAUGGGCUCGCGGCCUAUCAGCUUGUUGGUGAGGUAACGGCUCACCAAGGCUUCGACGGGUAGCCGGCCCGAGAGGGCGACCGGCCACACUGGGACUGAGACACGGCCCAAACUCCGUACGGGAGCAG
rnacentral:rRNA from 1 species